ensembl:snRNA
AUGUUGUAUGAAAGGAGAGAAGGUUAGCACUCCCCUUGAUAAGGAUGGAAGAGGCCCCAGUGGCCUGUACAACACGCAUACGGUUAAGGCACUGCCACCUACUUCGUGGCAUCUAACCAUGUUUUUGG